rnacentral:tRNA from 2 species
CAAAUCUUCCAGUUAGUGGGUUUAUUAUUUACAUUAAUAACUUUUUUGUGCGAUUCAAUAAGGUUUGA